rnacentral:rRNA from 1 species
CAGGACGAACGCUGGCGGCGUGCCUAAUACAUGCAGGUCGAACGGUCUUUCUAUGGAAGCUUGCUUCCACUGAGAAGAUAGUGGCGAACGGGUGAGUAACACGUGGGUAACCUGCCCAUAAGAGGGGGAUAACAUCCGGAAACGGGUGCUAAUACCGCAUAGUUUUCUUGAUCGCAUGAUCGGGAAAGGAAAGACGGCCUUUGUGCUGUCGCUUAUGGAUGGACCCGCGGCGUAUUAGUUAGUUGGUGAGGUAACGGCUCACCAAGACGAUGAUACGUAGCCGACCUGAGAGGGUGAUCGGCCACAUUGGGACUGAGACACGGCCCAAACUCCUACGGGAGGCAGCAGUAGGGAAUCUUGGGCAAUGGGGGCAACCCUGACCCAGCGACGCCGCGUGAGGGAAGACAGCCUUCGGGUUGUAAACCUCUGUUGCAGGGGAAGAAGAAAGUGACGGUACCCUGCGAGGAAGCUCCGGCAAACUACGUGCCAGCCGCCGC